rnacentral:rRNA from 1 species
UCGGGAAUUUUGGGCAAUGGGCGAAAGCCUGACCCAGCAACGCCGCGUGCGGGAUGAAGUAUUUCGGUAUGUAAACCUCGAAAGAAUGGGAAGAAUAAAUGACGGUACCAUUUAUAAGCUCCGGCUAACUACGUGCCAGCAGCCGCGGUAAUACGUAGGGGGCAAGCGUUGUCCGGAUUUACUGGGUGUAAAGGGCGCGCAGGCGGGAUAAAAAGUCAGUGGUGAAAUCCUACAGCUUAACUGUAGAACUGCCUUUGAUACUUUUAUUCUUGAGUUCGGGAGAGAGAGACGGAAUUCCAGGUGUAGUGGUGAAAUACGUAGAUAUCUGGAAGAACACCCGUUGCGAAGGCGGUCUCUUGGUCCGACACUGACGCUGAGGCGCGAAAGCGUGGGGA